rnacentral:rRNA from 1 species
UACGAAGGGGGCUAGCGUUGCUCGGAAUCACUGGGCGUAAAGCGCACGUAGGCGGAUUGCUAAGUCAGGGGUGAAAUCCUGGAGCUCAACUCCAGAACUGCCUUUGAUACUGGUGAUCUUGAGUCCGGGAGAGGUGAGUGGAACUGCGAGUGUAGAGGUGAAAUUCGUAGAUAUUCGCAAGAACACCAGUGGCGAAGGCGGCUCACUG